AAGAAAUAGAAGAAGAAAAGGAAGAAGAAGAAAGGGAAGAAGAGUCUUUUGCAGCUGCCAGGUCUUGGUGCGUUUUGGAUUUACAAUGGUUUCGAAAUCCAACUUCUGUUUUGCACUGUUUUUGGCAGAUUUCACAAAAUAGGGAGGUUGGGUU
rnacentral:ribozyme from 13 species